UGGCGAACGGGUGAGUAACACGUGGGUGAUCUGCCUUGCACUUCGGGAUAAGCUUGGGAAACUGGGUCUAAUACCGGAUAGGACAGCUGUUUAGUGUCAGUUGUGGAAAGUUUUUUCGGUGCAAGAUGAGCUCGCGGCCUAUCAGCUUGUUGGUGGGGUAAUGGCCUACCAAGGCGACGACGGGUAGCCGGCCUGAGAGGGUGACCGGCCACACUGGGACUGAGACACGGCCCAG
rnacentral:rRNA from 1 species